rnacentral:misc_RNA from 1 species
UUUCCGUAGGUGAACCUGCGGAAGGAUCAUUAUUGUAUAACCGAGGCGCGAGGCCUGUCUCUCACCCGAAUGUCUGUUCACGCCUGAGUGCUCUCACAAACAUCCCCCCCACCCCUAUCUGCACCACCGCGAGUGUCCCCCUUUUGCUUGUUCGGAGGUGGCCCUACGUUUUCACUCAAACUUUGUAUGUACUUUAGUAUGUAUUCUUUGUUUUUGCGAACACACAAUCUAUACAACCUUCAACAACGGAUCUCUUGGCUCUCGCAUCCACGAAGAACC